GGGAGAGGUAAAGAAAGAGGAAUAGAGGGGGAAAGAGAGGGAGAGGUAAAGAAAGAGGAAUAGAGGGGGAAAGAGAGGGAGAGGUAAAGAAAGAGGAAUAGAGGGGGAAAGAGAGGGAGAGGUAAAGAAAGAGGAACAGAGGGGGAAAGAGAGGUAAAGAAAGAGGAAUAGAGGGGGAAGAGAGAGAGGUAAAGAAAGAGGAAUAGAGGGGAAAGAGAGAGAGUUAAUGCUGUAACAUGUGAUAGUGUUUUUUUCUCGGCAGGGCUGGGUUGUGAGAGCGGGGUCGGGAGCGGGGUCGGCAGUGUGGUGGGAAAGCACCUUUAGCCCAGAGGGACUUAAAGAGAGAGAGAGAGAGUGAGUGUGUGUAUGUCUGUGAGAGUGUGUGUGUGUGUGUCUGUGAGAGAGAGUGUGUCUGUGUGUUUGUGUCUGUGUGCGUGUCUGUGUGAGAGAGUGUGUGUGUGUCUGUGUGAGAGUGUGUAUGUGUCUGUGUGUGCGUGUCUAUGUGAGAGAGUGUGUGCAUGUCUGUGUGAGAGAGUGUGUGUGUGUCUGUGUGUGCGUGUCUGUGUGAGAGAGUGUGUGCGUGUCUGUGUGUGCGUGUCUGUGUGAGAGAGUGUGUGUGUGUGUGUGUGUGUGUGUGUGUGUGUGUGUGUGUGUGUGUGUGUGUGUGUGUGUGUGUGUGUGUGUGUGUGUGUGUGUGUGUGUGUGUGUGUGUGUCGGCUUCAGCACAGCGCUGUCACUUUAAGCCUGUUACUGAUUACACUCUGAAGAAUGUAACCGAAGGAGAAAAAAGACUGAAAGAGAAAGAGAAAGGGAGAGGAGAGGAGAGAGAGGAGAGGGGGGAGAGGGAGAGAGGAGAGAGAGAGGGAGAGAGAGAGAAAGGAGAGAGAGAGACAUGUAAGGACAGAUUCUUUUGAAUUUGGUUUAGUUAAGUUUGGAAGUUAGAGAGACAAUUCUCUCUCUUCUCUCCCUGAGAGAGGCAAACUGGAGGGGAACCCCAGAUUAUCUGACAGAGAGAGCGGGGAGGGGGCAGAGAGAAAGUGGAAGAAGAGGGGAACCGACAGAGAGACAGACCAACACAGAGAGAGAGACAGAGAGAAAGAGAAAUGGAGAGGGUCCAGCGAGAAGCUCACAGCCAUCAGGAGGAAAUGCUCUGAGUAGAAUGGAUCCUGAUGAUCAUGAUGAAGAUUCUGAAGAUUCUUCCAAGCAGCAAAGUCAUCCACGUGGAUCCUCUCUAUCUGUGACCCAGUCCCUCGAUCUCCCCAUCCCUCUCCUCCAUUCAUUUACUCUGUAUUUGCGUGUUGGUCAGUUGCUCAGUAGGCAGUGUAGAUCCUGUAUAAUGAUCAGCAGCUACAUCUGGCUACUGGGUCUCUGAAGACACGCCUCCUACUUCCUGCCUAGUGGUUAAUUGCACAUUUCAUUUCUCUCUGAUUGGCUAGUAUGUUAUCAUAUGGGGGGGUUACAUCCUAUGAAUCUCUCUGUGCCUGUCAGGGCUUUAUUUCUGAUUCUUUUCUUUCUGUCUCUUUUCUUUUUAAUCUCUUCUUUUUCUCUCCUCUCCUGUCAAAUCUCUUCUCCCGCUGUAGCGUCCUUGGCGGUGAGCCAUUCAAAGGGUUCUUGGUAUUCUUUAAUGAAUUGUGCUGUUUUCUAAAAGAUGCUGACUGGCGGCCCAUAGAAAAGAGAUUGACGAGAGCAGAGAAAAACAUGUCAGGCACAAUAGAAAAGAGCCUUUAAGAGAGGAGAGCAUUGUUUAGGAUGUGAUGCAUGCAGUUUCCCUAGAAAUCACUCAAUAGAGAACAGAUGAAAUGCCACAUUCUAUGAUAACUCUGUGUGUAUGCAUGGGUGCGUGAGUGGGUGCGGGUGUGUUUGUGUGUGUGUGUGUGUGUGUGUGUGUGUGUGUGUGUGUGUGUGUGUGUGUGUGUGUGUGUGUGUGUGUGUGUGUGUGUGUGUGUGUGUGUGUGUGUGUGUGUGUGUGUUUGUGUGUGUGUGUGUGUGUGCGUGAGACAGCUGAUGAGACAUCUUUGCUUGGUCCUGGACCUAGCAUACAAUGUAGAUUUCUGUGUGGUUUAAGCUACAGCUACAUUGUCUGCUGGGUUUUAGGCUGGCAACAAAAACAGCCUUGAACCGCUGAAGGAUUUCAAUAACUGGCAACAUAAACAGCCUUCAACAGCUGAAGGAUUCAAUAACUGGCAACAAAAACAGCCUUCAACAGCUGAAGGAUUCAAUAACUGGCAACAUAAACAGCCUUCAACAGCUGAAGGAUUCAAUAACUGGCAACAAAAACAGCCUUCAACAGCUGAAGGAUUCAAUAACUGGCAACAAAAACAGCCUUCAACAGCUGAAGGAUUCAAUAACUGGCAACAAAAACAGCCUUCAACAGCUGAAGGAUUCAAUAACUGGCAACAUAAACAGCCUUCAACAGCUGAAGGAUUCAAUAACUGGCAACAUAAACAGCCUUCAACAGCUGAAGGAUUUAAUAACUGGCAACAAAAACAGCCUUCAACAGCUGAAGGAUUCAAUAACUGGCAACAAAAACAGCCUUCAACAGCUGAAGGAUUCAAUAACUGGCAACAAAAACAGCCUUCAACAGCUGAAGGAUUUAAUAACUGGCAACAAAAACAGCCUUCAACAGCUGAAGGGUUCAAUAACUCAAUGACUCAACGAGGUAAGUUCACAUUCAUUCUGCAACUAUGUGUCAAAUGUUUCACAUUGAAAAUACAAUAAUUGAAAAAUAUGUAAUAAACAUAUAUAUACACAAGUA
rnacentral:lncRNA from 1 species